UACGUAGGGAGCAAGCGUUGUCCGGAAUCAUUGGGCGUAAAGCGCGCGUAGGUGGCCCCAUAAGUCCGCUGUGAAAGUCAAAGGCUCAACCUUUGAAAGCCGGUGGAUACUGUGGGACUAGAGUACGGAAGAGGCGAGUGGAAUUCCUGGUGUAGCGGUGGAAUGCGCAGAUAUCAGGAGGAGCACCAAUAGCGAAGGCAGCUCGCUGGGACGUUACUGACACUGAGGCGCGAAAGCGUGGGGAGCGAACAGG
rnacentral:rRNA from 1 species